rnacentral:sRNA from 1 species
GGAUACAGGAAGAGGGUGGAGGCUAGGAGAACAGCUAUUCCAGUGUUGCAGUAGAAUUUAUUCCCAUUCGGACUCCCUGACUUUGUGUUUAAAUAGGAGGAAAUCAAAGCUAAAUUAAAGUAUCUCCCAAAAUUGUAGAGAUUUCUUCAGAUAUCUCCAUUAACGAAGGGAACAAUAUCAGCCUCACCUGCAUAGCAACUGGUAGACCAGAGCCUACGGUUACUUGGAGACACAUCUCCCCCAAAGCGGUUGGCUUUGUGAGUGAAGACGAAUACUUGGAAAUUCAGGGCAUCACCCGGGAGCAGUCAGGGGACUACGAGUGCAGUGCCUCCAAUGACGUGGCCGCGCCCGUGGUACGGAGAGUAAAGGUCACCGUGAACUAUCCACCAUACAUUUCAGAAGCCAAGGGUACAGGUGUCCCCGUGGGACAAAAGGGGACACUGCAGUGUGAAGCCUCAGCAGUCCCCUCAGCAGAAUUCCAGUGGUACAAGGAUGACAAAAGACUGAUUGAAGGAAAGAAAGGGGUGAAAGUGGAAAACAGACCUUUCCUCUCAAAACUCAUCUUCUUCAAUGUCUCUGAACAUGACUAUGGGAACUACACUUGCGUGGCCUCCAACAAGCUGGGCCACACCAAUGCCAGCAUCAUGCUAUUUGGUCCAG